rnacentral:misc_RNA from 1 species
GGUAUUUAUAGUUUAUCAACUAGUUUACUUAUAACUAAUUAGGAAUACUAAAAAUCAAAACAAACUAAGAAUAUAAAACUAAUCUUAACUAAAAAUUCUAAAUCUAAUAGAAUUCUAAAUAUAAAUAUAUAAACUUUCUAAUUUCACACUGAAUAAUUAAAUUAAAAUAAUUCAUAAAUCUCAUCUGCCUAUACUGCAUCACACAUGCAUCCCCCAAUUACCAAAAUGAUGUGCAUAGACAAUAAAUAGAGAAUCACCAGUAUCCAGAAAAAUUGGGGUAAACAUCAAUGAAAGGCAUCCAUCAUAAUCAACUUCACUGAUAUUGUCACAUUGUUUAUUAUUUUUACUAUAGAGUAGCUAAACAUAGAUGGUGAAACAUAAGCCUAGAUUACACAUCAAAGUCUCCGCAACUCAACUAUGAAACCAGUAUAUUAAAACCCAGCAUUACACAAAACCAAGAUUUUGCACCACUAAAAAGAAUUUCACAUUUCUAGGGUUAAUAGUGCCAUCCAAAAAACUAGCUUCAUAAAGGGAAGUUUGUACUUCUAGUAUUUAAAGGUUAGAACA